CACUAUCGUUAACUGAAUACAUAGGUUAACGAGGCGAACCGGGGGAACUGAAACAUCUAAGUACCCCGAGGAAAAGAAAUCAACCGAGAUUCCCCCAGUAGCGGCGAGCGAACGGGGAGCAGCCCAGAGUCUGAAUCAGCUUGUGUGUUAGUGGAACGGUCUGGAAAGUCCGACGGUACAGGGUGAUAGUCCCGUACACCAAAAUGCACAGGCUGUGAACUCGAAGAGUAGGGCGGGACACGUGGUAUCCUGUCUGAAUAUGGGGGGACCAUCCUCCAAGGCUAAAUACUCCUGACUGACCGAUAGUGAACCAGUACCGUGAGGGAAAGGCGAAAAGAACCCCGGCGAGGGGAGUGAAAAAGAACCUGAAACCGUGUACGUACAAGCAGUGGGAGCACCUUCGGGUGUGACUGCGUACCUUUUGUAUAAUGGGUCAGCGACUUAUAUUCUGUAGCAAGGUUAACCGUAUAGGGGAGCCGCAGGGAAACCGAGUCUUAACUGGGCGUUAAGUUGCAGGGUAUAGACCCGAAACCCGGUGAUCUAGCCAUGGGCAGGUUGAAGGUUGGGUAACACUAACUGGAGGACCGAACCGACUAAUGUUGAAAAAUUAGCGGAUGACUUGUGGCUGGGGGUGAAAGGCCAAUCAAACCGGGAGAUAGCUGGUUCUCCCCGAAAGCUAUUUAGGUAGCGCCUCGUGAACUCAUCUUCGGGGGUAGAGCACUGUUUCGGCUAGGGGGUCAUCCCGACUUACCAACCCGAUGCAAACUACGAAUACCGAAGAAUGUUAUCACGGGAGACACACGGCGGGUGCUAACGUCCGUCGUGAAGAGGGAAACAACCCAGACCGCCAGCUAAGGUCCCAAAGUCAUGGUUAAGUGGGAAACGAUGUGGGAAGGCACAGACAGCCAGGAUGUUGGCUUAGAAGCAGCCAUCAUUUAAAGAAAGCGUAAUAGCUCACUGGUCGAGUCGGCCUGCGCGGAAGAUGUAACGGGGCUAAACCAUGCACCGAAGCUGCGGCAGCGACACUAUGUGUUGUUGGGUAGGGGAGCGUUCUGUAAGCCUGCGAAGGUGUGCUGUGAGGCAUGCUGGAGGUAUCAGAAGUGCGAAUGCUGACAUAAGUAACGAUAAAGCGGGUGAAAAGCCCGCUCGCCGGAAGACCAAGGGUUCCUGUCCAACGUUAAUCGGGGCAGGGUGAGUCGACCCCUAAGGCGAGGCCGAAAGGCGUAGUCGAUGGGAAACAGGUUAAUAUUCCUGUACUUGGUGUUACUGCGAAGGGGGGACGGAGAAGGCUAUGUUAGCCGGGCGACGGUUGUCCCGGUUUAAGCAUGUAGGCUGGUUGUCCAGGCAAAUCCGGAUAAUCAAGGCUGAGGUGUGAUGACGAGGUACUACGGUGCUGAAGUAACAAAUGCCCUGCUUCCAGGAAAAGCCUCUAAGCAUCAGGUAACAUCAAAUCGUACCCCAAACCGACACAGGUGGUCAGGUAGAGAAUACCAAGGCGCUUGAGAGAACUCGGGUGAAGGAACUAGGCAAAAUGGUGCCGUAACUUCGGGAGAAGGCACGCUGGUGUGUAGGUGAAGUCCCUGCGGAUGGAGCUGAGACCAGUCGAAGAUACCAGCUGGCUGCAACUGUUUAUUAAAAACACAGCACUGUGCAAACACGAAAGUGGACGUAUACGGUGUGACGCCUGCCCGGUGCCGGAAGGUUAAUUGAUGGGGUUAUCCGUAAGGAGAAGCUCUUGAUCGAAGCCCCGGUAAACGGCGGCCGUAACUAUAACGGUCCUAAGGUAGCGAAAUUCCUUGUCGGGUAAGUUCCGACCUGCACGAAUGGCGUAAUGAUGGCCAGGCUGUCUCCACCCGAGACUCAGUGAAAUUGAACUCGCUGUGAAGAUGCAGUGUACCCGCGGCAAGACGGAAAGACCCCGUGAACCUUUACUAUAGCUUGACACUGAACAUUGAGCCUUGAUGUGUAGGAUAGGUGGGAGGCUUUGAAGCGUGGACGCCAGUCUGCGUGGAGCCAACCUUGAAAUACCACCCUUUAAUGUUUGAUGUUCUAACGUUGGCCCCUUACCGGGGUUGCGGACAGUGUCUGGUGGGUAGUUUGACUGGGGCGGUCUCCUCCCAAAGCGUAACGGAGGAGCACGAAGGUUAGCUAAUCCUGGUCGGACAUCAGGAGGUUAGUGCAAUGGCAUAAGCUAGCUUGACUGCGAGCGUGACGGCGCGAGCAGGUGCGAAAGCAGGUCAUAGUGAUCCGGUGGUUCUGAAUGGAAGGGCCAUCGCUCAACGGAUAAAAGGUACUCCGGGGAUAACAGGCUGAUACCGCCCAAGAGUUCAUAUCGACGGCGGUGUUUGGCACCUCGAUGUCGGCUCAUCACAUCCUGGGGCUGAAGUAGGUCCCAAGGGUAUGGCUGUUCGCCAUUUAAAGUGGUACGCGAGCUGGGUUUAGAACGUCGUGAGACAGUUCGGUCCCUAUCUGCCGUGGGCGCUGGAGAAUUGAGGGGGGCUGCUCCUAGUACGAGAGGACCGGAGUGGACGCAUCACUGGUGUUCGGGUUGUCAUGCCAAUGGCACUGCCCGGUAGCUAAAUGCGGAAGAGAUAAGUGCUGAAAGCAUCUAAGCACGAAACUUGCCCCGAGAUGAGUUCUCCCUGAGACUUUAAGUCUCCUGAAGGAACGUUGAAGACGACGACGUUGAUAGGCCGGGUGUGUAAGCGCAGCGAUGCGUUGAGCUAACCGGUACUAAUGAACCGUGAGGCUUAACCUU
rnacentral:rRNA from 1 species